GUAGCAUCAAGAUAUGCUCCAGCCCCCCUGCCCAGGACAGUUUAUUAGAAGAUGGAUGGAUGGACGUACGAUUGACUGCUGACCAGUUCUGCUCUAGGAUCCUGGCUUCACAUACAUUGGUGAUUCUGGUGCAGACUCUCCUUCCCGAAUGUCAUUGGCACCCAGACUGAAGGAGAUGCGGAUGGAUCUGGUCCAGAAUCAGUUGCAAUGUGGGAAGAUAAAGGCCUAUACACUAUUUUACAAUAAAAACCAGGGCUGUGGAGUUAUAAAAGACUUUUGACAGAGAAACUGCUGCCAAAGACAACAGGAGAGUGAAGAGCAAAACGCCAGCUUCCUGACAGCCAGCGAGAGAGAUGGUGUUCCCAAGCCGCGCCCCCCCCACUCUGAAAGGCCACGCGUGUAAAAUGAAGUGCAGAGACCAGCCCAAUGAGGGCUGUGGAGGACAGGAUGAAGCCAGACAGACAGAACCCAUUUAGGAGAAGAUGCCUUGGGACACGCAUGCUACAGGAGGACAAACCUGCAGCCUGCCAACUAUCCCAUGAUGUCUCCAACCUCAUUUCUCAUCUCCUGUCUGAUUCUCCAUCUUUGGCUGCAUUGUUUCUCCUCCUCAGUCUGAUCUUCCAUCUGUUUCUCCUCCUCUUCAGCCCGAUCUCCAUGCUUUUCUUGGUUUUGGCUCCUCAGGCUGAUCUUCUCCCAUCUUAAUAAAUGUCAUUACCUGUCAUUACCUCCCUAACCCUAAC